rnacentral:tRNA from 1 species
GGGCCCGUAGCUCAGUUUGGAAAGAGCGCCUGCCUUCGGAGCAGGAGGUCGUGGGUUCAAAUCCCAUCGGGCCCGCCA